GGGCGGGAACGUGGUGGCGUUCCGCCAGUUCUUGGGCCCUCCGGACUGCCUUGAGUUGGGGGUGGAGCUCGGAGCUGCUGAGUGCCUCUUCCCAGCCGAACUAACUGGUGACUGGUCCCCGAGCAUCCGGAGAGUAGCAGAAUUCGCGACGUGUCCUGCAGCGGCUCGGUGACCCAUACCAGCGUACUUGGCGUCUACCCCAUCUGGUACUUUGGGGUUCUGUUGAUCAAGUGUUCUUCACGACCGAGCGUCCAUGUCAGCGAGUUGCGUUCUCACCGCAAUCGAGAUGUUCAACCAUUGCAGUACCGGUGGACCAAGAGCAGCGGAGUUCAAGGGCUAUCAAAUGCUGGUUGAAGAGGACAAGGCUGGAGGUCGGCGAAAGUCAAGUUGAUACCGUGAGUGGCUCCUGCGGUGUACGUCUGCUUCGAAGAACUCGCUCAGAUCGGGGAAGAAGCGUCGAAUAAAGGCUGCCGCGACGUGAGCGAGUGCUUACGCGAACGAAUGCGUGACCACCAUGUAUGCAUUGGAUAUGCCCUUAGACUCCGUGCAUUAUUUAUACGCUGGACGUCGUAUAUGUACAUUCUUUAGACUUAUUGUUUAGACGUAUAUGCACAUUAUUUAGACUUAUUUUCUAUUGCGUUAUUCUAUAUAGCUGGUCUUGUUAUUGUUUAAUACCACGACCAUGUUCAUGGAUAGGUUAGCCGGCUAGAACAUUGGCUGACGUGCCAUCUUUUCCGUGUAUAAUAAUACAGAGAAGGUAUUAAAAGGUGUGUG
rnacentral:lncRNA from 1 species